UACGUAGGGUGCAAGCGUUGUCCGGAAUUAUUGGGCGUAAAGAGCUCGUGAGCGGUCUGUCGCGUCUGCUGUGAAAACUCGGGGCUUAACCCCGGGCCUGCAGUGGGUACGGGCAGACUAGAGUGCGGUAGGGGAGACUGGAAUUCCUGGUGUAGCGGUGAAAUGCGCAGAUAUCAGGAGGAACACCGGUGGCGAAGGCGGGUCUCUGGGCCGUAACUGACGCUGAGGAGCGAAAGCGUGGGGAGCGAACAGG
rnacentral:rRNA from 1 species